rnacentral:rRNA from 1 species
UAGGGAAUCUUCCGCAAUGGACGAAAGUCUGACGGAGCAACGCCGCGUGAGUGAAGAAGGCUUUCGGUUCGUAAAACUCUGUUGUUAGGGAAGAAAAAAUGUAUAGUAACUAUAUACAAAAGAGACGGUACCUAACCAGAAAGCCACGGCUAACUACGUGCCAGCAGCCGCGGUAAUACGUAGGUGGCAAGCGUUGUCCGGAAUUAUUGGGCGUAAAGCGCGCCCAGGUGGUUUAGAAAGUCUGAUGUGAAAGCCCACGGCUCAACCGUGGAGGGUCAUUGGAAACUAAUAAACUUGAGUGCAGGAGAGAAAAGUGGAAUUCCUAGUGUAGCGGUGAAAUGCGUAGAGAUUAGGAGGAACACCGGUGGCGAAAGCGGCUUUUUGGCCUGCAACUGACACUGAGGCGCGAAAGCGUGGGGAGCAAACAGG